CCUACGGGGCGCAGCAGUGGGGAAUAUUGGGCAAUGGGCGCAAGCCUGACCCAGCAACGCCGCGUGAAGGAAGAAGGCUUUCGGGUUGUAAACUUCUUUUGACAGGGAAGAGUAGAAGACGGUACCUGUCGAAUAAGCCACGGCUAACUACGUGCCAGCAGCCGCGGUAAUACGUAGGUGGCAAGCGUUAUCCGGAUUUACUGGGUGUAAAGGGCGUGUAGGCGGGACUGCAAGUCAGAUGUGAAACCCAUGGGCUCAACCCAUGGCCUGCAUUUGAAACUGUAGUUCUUGAGUGAUGGAGAGGG
rnacentral:rRNA from 1 species